rnacentral:rRNA from 1 species
GAACGAUGAAACCUAGCUUGCUAGGUGGAUUAGUGGCGCACGGGUGAGUAAUAUAUAGGUAAUGUGCCUCUUAGUCUGGGAUAGCCAUUGGAAACGAUGAUUAAUACUGGAUACUCCUUCUAACUCUAAUGUUAGUCGGGAAAGUUUUUCGCUAAGAGAUCAGCCUAUAUCCCAUCAGUUAGUUGGUAAGGUAACGGCUUACCAAGGCAAUGACGGGUAGCGGGUUUGAGAGGAUGAUCCGCCACACUGGUACUGAGACACGGACCAGACUCCUACGGGAGGCAGCAGUGAGGAAUAUUGCACAAUGGGGGAAACCCUGAUGCAGCAACGCCGCGUGGAGGAUGACGCAUUUCGGUGUGUAAACUCCUUUUAUAUGUCAAGAAAAUGACGGUAGCAUAUGAAUAAGCACCGGCUAACUCCGUGCCAGCAGCCGCGGUAAUACGGAGGGUGCAAGCGUUACUCGGAAUCACUGGGCGUAAAGGACGCGUAGGCGGAUUGGAAAGUCAGAUGUGAAAUCCUACAGCUUAACUGUAGAACUGCAUUUGAAACUUCUAAUCUAGAGUAUGGGAGGGGGAGAUGGAAUUAGUGGUGUAGGGGUAAAAUCCGUAGAUAUCACUAGGAAUACCGAAAGCGAAGGCGAUCUCCUGGAACAUUACUGACGCUAAGGCGUGAAAGCGUGGGGAGCAAACAGGAUUAGAUACCCUGGUAGUCCACGCCCUAAACGAUGAACACUAGUCGUCGGGAUGCUUGUCAUCUCGGUGAUGCACUUAACAGAUUAAGUGUUCCGCCUGGGGAGUACGGUCG